CGACUCAUGCUCUGUCUCUUCUUGUCUUUCUCUCAAAAAUAAACAUUAAAAAAAAAAUUUUUUUAAGUAUCCAUAAGAGUACUUGGCAAGGGAGAGGGCAAUGAUGAAAACUAGGUUAGGAAGCUCUGAUUGUAGUGAUCCAAAACCCUUUCUUGGGCUGUCACUGAGAGCUUUAAAUCUGUCAUCCUCAAAAGCACAAUUUUUACUAUUAUUCUCUAAACUGAUGUAUAAUUCAACACACAUUUACAUGGACUCUCUGUGCCAUUUAGAGUAAAAACAGUUACAGUGCAAUUUGAAUUAUUUUUCACUUAAUGCUUUACCCAACCGACCCUUGCCCAUGGUGAACAUCAGACUACGCACCAGUGUCCCGUGUCUCCCUGCAGCUUAACAGUUUUUGGUUGACAUCUCCCCACAUGGAAGAGCUCAGCAUCAUUGGUGAGCCAGGCAAUUUCAAUGCAUACUCACUCCUCUCUCAACUGCUCAAGCCACAGAAUAUUUAAGUGCUAAUCAUCAUAGUGAAUACUGAAAUAUCAGACAUGCCCCUGCCUUUCAGGGCCCACAGUGUCACUAGAGAUGUCACCAAAACAUCACUAGAGAUGUCACAAAUUCACCACGGUAAUAUACGAGCUGUGACUACAGGGCAAUGAAGCCAAUUUCCACAUGUCGCUCGUGAAAGCUCAGGGCUGGUGGUCACAUCUCAAAUCACUAAGAGCCAAGUUAACCUCAUCUCCCUCAGGAGCCUCAAUUCCCCACCAGGAGCCUCACUGUGAACACGUUUCCAUCCAAAGAAAGGCCUAUUUAUCGUUACUCCGCAUUUCUUAUCUCUAAGCCGGUUCCCUAUUGUCACCAGACAUUCCCCCCAUUCCCAUGGCGACUCAACAGGCUUUGGUAUGGAGCCUGUCAGAAGCUCCUUAAAAGUGUAAAUAGAGUGUGUCUACUGUUUCCCUCCUUAUCCAUACACUUAUUUGGCCCUUCAAAGAGCUCUAGUAGAUUAGGGAGGCACGACUUCUCCUCACCAAAGUCAGGCUGCCUUUCCACAGGAGGUGGAGUUCGCUCAAGUGCUCUGUAAUCCUGCCCUGAGAGGUGCUGCCGACAUGCCCGGCGUGGAAACAAAACUUGUGGGCCAUUUCCCAGAAGCCCCUCUGGCACCCUUCGGUUCUUCGGCAAGGAGCCUCUCCAACAAUUUGCUGAGAUGAAGAGAUUUAUACAGGGUACUUUGGGGAUAGGAAUUUACAGGUUAACUCUUUAAUAUGCAAGUUAUUAUAUAACCCACUCAUGCUACUUCUGAAAAUAUAUUCUGAGCAAAUACUUCAAAAUACAAAAAAAAAAAAAGACCCAAAUUCAUGCAGAUGUUCCUUGAAACAUUAUGUAGAAUAAAAAAAAAUGAGGAUUAUAUAGCAAUGUGAUAAAAUAUGUACAUUACAGUGUUCGGUGUGAAAAGCGGGAUGCUAACCCACGUAUGCAACUGUGUAAAAAAUCAUGUGAAAAAACUGGAAGAAAUGCACACAGCUAAAAAUUUUGUAAGGGUGACAAACUAAACAGCAUUUUUUAAAUAAACUUCUCUUGCAUGUUGUUGUUUAAUAAAAAAUGAUUUUGAUUAGAUGAUUGUUUCAAUCAAUUAAAGGAGUAGCUCGAUCUUGUCACCGAAAGGAA